AGUAGCCCCUCUGCCAUGUGUAGCCUGAAUGAUCAAUCUAAUUAUAACCUUAACAUUCCUUUGUUGUUGUCUAAAGAGUCUGAAAUUCCUUUCUUGUUAGAGGUAGUACAUACAACAAGCUAGAGAGUCUAUAUAAGCUGGCUUGAGCUAAUUUUUCCUUUGUAUGUGCACUAGCCCACACUACCUCAUCCUUCCAACUUAAAACCCCUCUUUGUAUCCUCAACCACCUGAGCACUCUACAACAUACAACAACAGAAAAAAGACAGAAAGAACAGGUGAUCGAUACGCUCAUCACUACUCUGGCAUAAUAUGCAUGAAACAUCGAAUAGAGCACCACUUGGCUAUUCUAUCCCUUGUUUGCAAUCUCCUCCAGAAUAAGAUGAACUUACAUCUAGGGGCACCAUAAUUGUUACAGAUAAUUUUCCUCCACUCCAUCUUGGUAAAGUUGCAUAAAAGACUUCUAGAUUUAGCCUUGCAUUUAGGAUCUUUUUAACCAUCCAGGAAGCUUGAUUCCCUUGAGCAUUCCAUAGGUCAUUUCCUUUGUUGUAAUAAGUAUGGAUCUACUAAAUUCAUAACCUGACCUUUUUCAAGUACUACAGAGAUUUCAGAAAUGUUUACAAAUAGCCUAUUCCAAUCAGUGCGAUUAAGAAAGCCAAGGCCACCUGCAAUUUUAGGACUACACAACCUCUCCCAUGCUAUCAAUGCAUUCUUGCUGGUGUCAUUCCCUCCAGAUUAUAGAAAGGAUUUACAAAUAUAUUUAGCCAAUUACACAAACUUAGAUGGAAAAUAAGAUAUGUAAUUUCACUCUAGCGCCUAAUUAUUUUCAGUAGCAUAUUUUCACUCUCCCUCUCUCGUACAACGCACUACUCCUAUUCACUCUCUCUCUCUCGUACACAACAAACACAUAUAGCUACUCUUCAUCAGAUCACUCUCUCUCGCGAACACAGCAAACACACUACUCUCAUCUUCCAAUUUUUUCAUUCACUAAUACACACCAUCUUGAUUCUCGAUCUCGAUCGAUUACAACGACGCACACACACUAUCUUGAUCGCAAACAAUACCCUUCCACUGUAUCUUCAAAUUCCCCGAAUUGCCCUCAUCGACCGUCGUUCCUCGCCGUCAAUUCACGCCGGAGAUGCGGUAGAAUCUUCUCCAGGAUACGCACAACUUACAGGUUCGUGUAAAGGAAAGUCUGUGUAGCGGAAAGUCUAUGAGCCACUGAAAGAGGUUUCAUUUACUCCAGUGCUUCACCAUUACGACAACCCUAAAUUUCGCCUUUAGUUAAACAUUCCAGAGGUUCUAUGGGGAUUGAUCGCGGACAAGGGCAUAAAUACUCCACCAUGUCCGUUAAUGAAGGAAUGAAAAGCAUUGGUGCUAUAGGAAAGGGACUAGAGCAAAGACUUCGAUCUUUGAGCUCCUUUUAGGGAUUGCUGGAAAAAAGGUGGAAUCUUUAAACAAGAGCACCCUCUGUGCUAACCAACAUGUGCGAACUCCAUCUAAAAUCACAAGUUCAAGUUCUACCAAAUCUUCUAAUCAAGAAAUUCGAAAUAUUAAUGAAGAUUCCUUGACUCUUGAGCAAGGGGAUAUGCAAGCCAAUAUUUCAUUGCCUCCAUCUAUUGAUCAAGUCAAGCAACACUCUCAAAAUAUUGAAAAAGGAUACAAUAAUUUCAUGGGUGCCAAAAAACUGCAGAAGAACUGAUUCUUCCCCUGAAACUUUGUUUAGACCUUGACACCCGUCAGAACUGAUUCUAAUCUCACAUUUGUCCUAGGAAGUCAACAAGCAAGCAUAAUUAAGCAAUCUAAAGGACACAAGUAAGACAUAAAAACGGAGAAAUUAUAUUUCUUCAUCUCCUCGAGCUUUCUCUGCACUUAUGUUUAUAAAUUGAAUUUGAUAUAUUUACUUACGUGAUUUAUGUCGAUCAUAUAUGGUGAAGCAAUGUAGUAAAUUUUUGUUUUACUGUUGCAUGAGUUACUUGAUUAAGGUGAAACAGUUCGAAUUGAAAGUCGAGGAUUUUGAUUAUUUUUUGGCCUGUGCUGCAAGCUGGAAAUUUGAAAUGAAAGUCGGUGUCUUUAUUAUAUAUAUCAUGUUUUUGUAUUGAAACUAAUUAAUAUAAUGGGAUGUUAAAUAAGUUUUCUGGUCUCUAAUUAUAUAUAUUAUGUUUUUGUAUUGAGAUUCUCGAUAGAAAUUUGGUAUUUAUUUAAUGAAAUUUAUUAUUUUGUGAUAUUAGACUCAUUUGUGGUUAAGAAUUUAUUACAAUGAGGUAGUUAGUCUUUUUGAGACAAUAAAUACCGUCGCUAAAUAAUAUUUAUGACAAGGUAGUUACACUAUUUUA